rnacentral:lncRNA from 1 species
AUACCUUGGAUCAAUUUGAUGUGGCGUUCAGCCUGAUCAUUUACUACAGAAAACUGUUUUGCACAUGUAGAGAAAUUGACAAAUGAUUUAAGGGCUCUCUCGCUCUUGCAAUAUCCUGCUAUGCCUUUCUCCCUCCACAACAAAAUUCUUCGUUAUUUCCAAGAGAAGAAAAAUGAAAUAACUCAGUUGUUUUGCUUUUCAAUCCCAUUUCCAGAACCUCAAAAGUUAGCAAUUUGUUGUUUACAACAACAUCCAGAUCUUUGUAAGCAAAAGACAAUCACAAGCUGGAGAUAGAUACCAAGUAUGAUGUAGAAACAAUUUGAUAUGGAAAAGAAACUAAGCUGAAACAUUCUGUUAACAGUCUUCAUGAACAAGUAAAUAUAUACAAUAGAGUUAAAAGAUGGUACCAACUUGUAUGAUUGGUAUGUUAAGCUGAAAGGAUUCGAUAAAGAAAGUGGUUUGUAUAAGGAUCUGCAAACACUAUAUAAAAAAGACUUAAAAACAGAUCAUAUUUGUUUUAAUAUUACAUAUUCGUCAAGAUUUCCAAUGGAACCUCCCUUUAUUAGAAUAUGUUAUCCUGUUAUAUCUGGAGG